AUGCAAUUUAUUGUUCAUGUGGACGAAGAACUUUCUCAUGUUCCUGAAGCAUACCACAACAAGAAACUUGGUAUGACGACAAUACUUGAACCUGGCAAGGUGGAAUGGCAGAUAAUGUUGAAAAAUUUGCGUUACCAUGGGUACAAAGGGGAAGCAGAUUUGUACUACAUCAAGCCUGGGUGCGUACCACCAGAAGGAAUGGUACAGAUGUCAGGCCAGCAUGACGUCGAUGCAAUGUUGCACACUUUAGAAGGGAUAAAGAAAUGUCAUUUGUACAUUGUGAAGAAUUGUGCAUUCGCAGAUGAUAGCGAUGAUGACAUGUCUGAACAGGACAUGUCCGAAGAAGACAUAUAUGCAUGUGGGUACAUGGAUAUCGGCAAGAGGGACAUGGGCGAAUAUGGGUCAUCGCCCAAAAGGGAGAAACUUGUAGAUAACAAUACGAAUAAAGCAUUGGAUUUCGGCAGCAGUGAUGAGCCUCUUCAGCAGGCUUUUGGUUUUUCUACAAUUUCAAGCUUUUGA
rnacentral:rRNA from 1 species